UACGGGGGGGGUAAGCGUUGUUCGGAAUUACUGGGCGUAAAGGGCUCGUAGGCGGCCAACUAAGUCAUACGUGAAAUCCCUCAGCUUAACUGGGGAACUGCGUGUGAUACUGGAUGGCUUGGAUUUGGGAGAGGGAUGCGGAAUUCCAGGUGUAGUGGUGAAGUGCGUAGAUAUCUGGAGGAACACCAGUGGCGAAGGCGGCAUCCUGGCCCUGUCCUGACGCUCAGGGGCGAAAGCGUGGGGAGCAAACCGG
rnacentral:rRNA from 1 species